rnacentral:rRNA from 2 species
GGUUAAGCGACUAAGCGUACACGGUGGAUGCCCUGGCAGUCAGAGGCGAUGAAGGACGUGCUAAUCUGCGAUAAGCGCCGGUAAGGUGAUAUGAACCGUUAUAACCGGCGAUUUCCGAAUGGGGAAACCCAGUGUGACUCGUCACACUAUCAUUAACUGAAUCCAUAGGUUAAUGAGGCGAACCGGGGGAACUGAAACAUCUAAGUACCCCGAGGAAAAGAAAUCAACCGAGAUUCCCCCAGUAGCGGCGAGCGAACGGGGAGGAGCCCAGAGCCUGAAUCAGCAUGUGUGUUAGUGGAAGCGUCUGGAAAGGCGCGCGAUACAGGGUGACAGCCCCGUACACAAAAGCGCAUGUGCUGUGAGCUCGAUGAGUAGGGCGGGACACGUGGUAUCCUGUCUGAAUAUGGGGGGACCAUCCUCCAAGGCUAAAUACUCCUGACUGACCGAUAGUGAACCAGUACCGUGAGGGAAAGGCGAAAAGAACCCCGGCGAGGGGAGUGAAAAAGAACCUGAAACCGUGUACGUACAAGCAGUGGGAGCACAGGUUUACCUGUGUGACUGCGUACCUUUUGUAUAAUGGGUCAGCGACUUAUAUUCUGUAGCAAGGUUAACCGUAUAGGGGAGCCGGAGGGAAACCGAGUCUUAACCGGGCGUUAAGUUGCAGGGUAUAGACCCGAAACCCGGUGAUCUAGCCAUGGGCAGGUUGAAGGUUGGGUAACACUAACUGGAGGACCGAACCGACUAAUGUUGAAAAAUUAGCGGAUGACCUGUGGCUGGGGGUGAAAGGCCAAUCAAACCGGGAGAUAGCUGGUUCUCCCCGAAAGCUAUUUAGGUAGCGCCUCGUGAAUUCAUCUCCGGGGGUAGAGCACUGUUUCGGCUAGGGGGCCAUCCCGGCUUACCAACCCGAUGCAAACUGCGAAUACCGGAGAAUGUUAUCACGGGAGACACACGGCGGGUGCUAACGUCCGUCGUGAAGAGGGAAACAACCCAGACCGCCAGCUAAGGUCCCAAAGUCAUGGUUAAGUGGGAAACGAUGUGGGAAGGCCCAGACAGCCAGGAUGUUGGCUUAGAAGCAGCCAUCAUUUAAAGAAAGCGUAAUAGCUCACUGGUCGAGUCGGCCUGCGCGGAAGAUGUAACGGGGCUAAACCAUGCACCGAAGCUGCGGCAGCGAACGUAUCACCCAAGACAACUUUACGGAGUUGACGAUUGACGGAGCGAAGCGACGUCAAAGCGUUCAUUAAAGUCGAGUUGGCUUAGGGAUACGUUCGUUGGGUAGGGGAGCGUUCUGUAAGCCUGUGAAGGUGUGUCGUGAGGCAUGCUGGAGGUAUCAGAAGUGCGAAUGCUGACAUAAGUAACGAUAAAGCGGGUGAAAAGCCCGCUCGCCGGAAGACCAAGGGUUCCUGUCCAACGUUAAUCGGGGCAGGGUGAGUCGACCCCUAAGGCGAGGCCGAAAGGCGUAGUCGAUGGGAAACGGGUUAAUAUUCCCGUACUUGGUGUUACUGCGAAGGGGGGACGGAGAAGGCUAUGUUGGCCGGGCGACGGUUGUCCCGGUUUAAGCGUGUAGGUGUGUGUUCCAGGUAAAUCCGGUUCACUUUAACACUGAGGCGUGACGACGAGGCACUACGGUGCUGAAGCAACAAAUGCCCUGCUUCCAGGAAAAGCCUCUAAGCAUCAGGUAACAUCAAAUCGUACCCCAAACCGACACAGGUGGUCAGGUAGAGAAUACCAAGGCGCUUGAGAGAACUCGGGUGAAGGAACUAGGCAAAAUGGUGCCGUAACUUCGGGAGAAGGCACGCUGAUAUGUAGGUGAAGCGGUUUACCCGUGGAGCUGAAAUCAGUCGAAGAUACCAGCUGGCUGCAACUGUUUAUUAAAAACACAGCACUGUGCAAACACGAAAGUGGACGUAUACGGUGUGACGCCUGCCCGGUGCCGGAAGGUUAAUUGAUGGGGUCAGCGCAAGCGAAGCUCCUGAUCGAAGCCCCGGUAAACGGCGGCCGUAACUAUAACGGUCCUAAGGUAGCGAAAUUCCUUGUCGGGUAAGUUCCGACCUGCACGAAUGGCGUAAUGAUGGCCAGGCUGUCUCCACCCGAGACUCAGUGAAAUUGAACUCGCUGUGAAGAUGCAGUGUACCCGCGGCAAGACGGAAAGACCCCGUGAACCUUUACUAUAGCUUGACACUGAACAUUGAGCCUUGAUGUGUAGGAUAGGUGGGAGGCUUUGAAGUGUGGACGCCAGUCUGCAUGGAGCCGACCUUGAAAUACCACCCUUUAAUGUUUGAUGUUCUAACGUGGACCCGUAAUCCGGGUUGCGGACAGUGUCUGGUGGGUAGUUUGACUGGGGCGGUCUCCUCCUAAAGAGUAACGGAGGAGCACGAAGGUUGGCUAAUCCUGGUCGGACAUCAGGAGGUUAGUGCAAUGGCAUAAGCCAGCUUGACUGCGAGCGUGACGGCGCGAGCAGGUGCGAAAGCAGGUCAUAGUGAUCCGGUGGUUCUGAAUGGAAGGGCCAUCGCUCAACGGAUAAAAGGUACUCCGGGGAUAACAGGCUGAUACCGCCCAAGAGUUCAUAUCGACGGCGGUGUUUGGCACCUCGAUGUCGGCUCAUCACAUCCUGGGGCUGAAGUAGGUCCCAAGGGUAUGGCUGUUCGCCAUUUAAAGUGGUACGCGAGCUGGGUUUAGAACGUCGUGAGACAGUUCGGUCCCUAUCUGCCGUGGGCGCUGGAGAACUGAGGGGGGCUGCUCCUAGUACGAGAGGACCGGAGUGGACGCAUCACUGGUGUUCGGGUUGUCAUGCCAAUGGCACUGCCCGGUAGCUAAAUGCGGAAGAGAUAAGUGCUGAAAGCAUCUAAGCACGAAACUUGCCCCGAGAUGAGUUCUCCCUGAGACUUUAGGUCUCCUGAAGGAACGUUGAAGACGACGACGUUGAUAGGCCGGGUGUGUAAGCGCAGCGAUGCGUUGAGCUAACCGGUACUAAUGAACCGUGAGGCUUAACCUU